GACGAACGCUGGCGGCGUGCUUAACACAUGCAAGUCGAACGGAAAGGCCCUGCUUUUGUGGGGUGCUCGAGUGGCGAACGGGUGAGUAACACGUGAGUAACCUGCCCUUGACUUUGGGAUAACUUCAGGAAACUGGGGCUAAUACCGGAUAGGAGCUCCUGCUGCAUGGUGGGGGUUGGAAAGUCUCGGCGGUUGGGGAUGGACUCGCGGCUUAUCAGCUUGUUGGUGGGGUAGUGGCUUACCAAGGCUGUGACGGGUAGCCGGCCUGGGAGGGUGACCGGCCACAUUGGGACUGAGAUACGGCCCAGACUCCUACGGGAGGCAGCAGUGGGGAAUAUUGCACAAUGGGCGGGAGCCUGAUGCAGCAACGCCGCGUGCGGGAUGACGGCCUGCGGGUUGUAAACCGCUUUCGCCUGUGACGAAGCGUGAGUGACGGUAAUGGGUAAAGAAGCACCGGCUAACUACGUG
rnacentral:rRNA from 1 species